GACAGAAAAUGGUGCCAAUUUUUCUACGACCGUUGAAGAGUCAACAUCUGGGGGAAGACCCAGCAGGAGUAGGUCCAGAAUCGGGAGGACGGCCAGUUUGGCGAGAGGCCGUCGGACCGUAGUGCUGCACGUCAGCCGUUCGGACGAGGCCAUCGGACUCUGGGUAGGUCGUCUGUGUCCACCGUCCGUCGCGCAGCCAGAACUGGCUUCUCAAGAUGGCAAGCAAGGCCAUCCCCGCGUGCAGCUCCGAUUGCUGCAGUCUACCUCCUACUCCGAGAAGGCCGUUGUCCAGGAAGGGUGCCAGACACUGGAGCUUUCCGGCCGAAUCGUUCUCGACAACCUGCUGUAUCUCCUGGGAUAGUACGUCGUGCUGCACAACCUUCGUCGUUCAGGGAGAUGGCGGAGGGAGACAUCUUCGCCGAGGCAUCGAAAACGACCCACAACUCGGUCGUUGAGUUCGAGGGGCGGAGAAAGGCAAGGUGGAGAAAGAAGUAGCGGCCAAGGUUAGAUCCGGGUCUCGGUUGAGUCGCUUUUCCAGCGACAGAAAAAAGGUGAGGCUGCAGUUGUCGUCGAGUCUGGCGACGACGAGGCGGAACGGCAAGCGAACCUCGGUAGGGUCCCACCUUUGAGUGGAGCGGAAGAAUACCGCGAAAUCUUCCUGUUCGGUGGUGAAAGGCGUUGCAUAUUCUAUCUUUUCGGCCUGCCAGCGUGGACUCGCUGA